rnacentral:lncRNA from 1 species
CCAACAACAAGUUUUGGGCCUAUCCCAGGCAACAACAAUCAGCCAACAGUGACCCAUUCCCUCCUUAAUUUUUUUAGCAACACCAGCCCAAUCUUAUGCCUUAACCCGGCCCAGUACCAUGAUUUGCCUCUUUUCUUCAAGAACCUGUACAAUAACAAAGACCCGUUUCAACACCUAUAACUCUUCUCAACCCAAACUUUGAUUCGAAUUGCAAAAAUAACAUCAUGAACCAUCAAUCCAUGUCCAACAAUGAUACACAACUCCAUCCCAUUCCUUUUUCGCUGUUGUCACGUGUUUUGUGCGUUCAUAGAACGGGAAACUCCUUGAACAUUCUAGAACAAGCCAAGGUGUCUCUCCCAACGGCUCAAAUCCAUAAAUUUUGGGAUAACUAAUAUAGAUUCAUACAUAUUUGGUAAAUUUUCAUUGGUUCUUGGGUACAUUUUUGUCUUUCCCACAUUUGAUUGGUUCACUGGUUUUGGAUUUGUGGAAAGAAAAUCCAAAUUGGUUACAACCCUGGGAGGCUAGGGGUUUUGAAUUUUGAAUUCCCUCUGAAAAUCGCUAAAAUUCCCCCCAAUUCCUAUCCUCUAUAUAAGAAUUAAUUAGGUCACAUUUUGGGAGGUUGGAGAAAGAGGUUGAGGAAGUUGGGGUUUGAAAAUUAGGGUUCAAAAAGGGGUUUCUUUGGGUUAGGAGAUUUUUUGAGCUAAUUAGGUCAAAAACCAAAAGAGUGCAAAAAAUUUCUUUGAUUGAGAAGAAGAGCAGGAGGAAAGCAAAGAAAAGGGUUUGGGGAAGCGGGGGAUUCUUAGCUCUCUAUAGAUAAUUUUCCUUCUUGUUUCGAAAUUGGGGUAUGUGAAAAAUGGUGGUUUCAAACCUUUCGCUGAGAAAUUCAAGAGUUUGAAAACUAAGGGUAAGAAUAGAAGAAGGAAAGAAUUUUUUGAUUAAAGAUUCAAUCCGUGCCUAUUAGGAAUUCCGUUCCGGAAAAAUUGGUUUGUCGAUAAAGUUCCGAAUCCAAUUACGAUAGUUUUCUGGUGGUAGCAACUCCAGAAUAAGGUCGAGUUUCAUUUUACUGCACCCUAGAAGGUAAUAUCCUUUUUCGUUCAAGUUUUUGAUAUUUUUUACUUCAUCUCGACUCGCUACAGUUGUAAAUAAUUUUGUCGAUGUUAUUCUUUGCUGGGAGUAGCUGUAGAGGACUAUAUUUGCCUUAAGUUUAGUUUGUGACUUCUUGUUGAGUUAUUUCGUUGAAUCAGUAUCUCUCGCCAUAGUGGUUCAUUUGAACACUCAGUUUCAGAUUCUGAUUUCGUCAAAGUCCGUCAUUCCCUAUUGUUAUUAUAAUUUGAACCUUCAUUUUGGAUUUCUGCUUGAUAAUCCUUUAGCCGAUUUGUUCCAAGCCUGAAGGUAAUCUAUUGAAUUCUAGUCAAUUGUCUCUCCCGAUGAAAUGACCUUCACUUAGUGUUGGCUCAUUGCUUUAAAAACUACUCUGAUUUCAGGUUUUCCCAGAUCAGUGUCAUUAGCAUAAUUUUGCCUAAACAAUUCUAAUCGCAAUUUUAGUUUCAACGAUUUUUUCUCUAAUCUAAUAUGAAAUCUUUUGGUAUGAGAAUUGGUAGAUGGGACUUGGUUUUUGGAAUAAUUGUUGUGAUUAUGAUGUGUUUCUUUUCAAAUUCAGAGCUGCAUUGUAUUUAUCUCUCUUUUAGGACUACUUCUAGUUCCUCUUUUUCUCAUAAUGAUAAGAAGGAAUAUAAGAUAUGUUAUAAUGGUUUCCAAAUAAUUCGUUGGCUUUUUUUUAGAAUACAUUCCAACUUAGUGGUUCUUUGAACUUGUCGAGGAAAGGAUGGGAUGAAUAAAUGAUCAAAACAACGCAUGUUUUCAUAUUAAGUAAAACUGCUUAGGAUUAAUUUCUGGUUCAUCCUCAUUUGAUUUCUUUCCCUCAGGAAAAGUUGUUUUUCCUUUAAAAAUGUGGAGUAUCUUUUCUAUCCUUUACUUAUUUUAGUUUUCGUUUUUCACAUUCUGUGUAAUGUUCUUUAAAGGCUCAAAUUAACCCCCAGUUCCUUGGCUUCUCUUCCUUGAAAUGUAGUUUACAUAGUGGAUUCAUUUGUCUGACUGCUAUUAUUGAUACACGCAUUGUUUAAUUGACUCACUUGAAAGCCAUAUACGUUGCAUAAUCCUAGAGUUCAUGUAAAUUGUUAUAGUCUCCAUGUGUCUAUUUGUGGUAAGUGAGUUGCUAUUUUCUUUGUUAAAAAUAGUCUUUUUCAUUGCCUAAUUUAUCCGCAAGUGUAAAUUUUGAGAAUAUACAUUAAUUCAUUUACCCUUUUCUUUGCAUGAACUUAAUCGGGAGCCCGAUCGGACUCCUUUCCCUUGCAUGAAGCAACUGACCAUCAAGGACCACUUUUUAGAAGACUUUGAAAGUCGAUCACAUGACAUAUGGAUGCAAUAAAAGCCGAGGAAGGAAAACGUGUUAAAGUCCCAUUCUUGAAGCGACGACUAGACCCGAACCUCAUUGCCAUCUAUUUAUUUGUCAUUAUUUAUUAUUAUCAUAUUUAUUUUGUUAAUUAUUCAUUCGAACCUCGAAGCCGAAGUUGUAUCUAAUACAGGUGAAAAUAGACUCGAGCAAAAAGAGGCUCGAACAUGUAGAAUUAGGACAAGUACAAGACGGGCCGAAAGCCCAAUAUCUAGAUUAGGACAGGGUUAUUAAUUUGGGUCUAAUUGCCUAAAUCCCUCUACUUCUCCCUUUUCCCCUUUUACUUUUGCUAAUUUGUUUUAUCUACUUUCUUGCAAACCCAAUCAAAAUCCCUAACUAAGUUGCUAAAAACUAGUUUUGCAUAAACUUCAAAAUAUUUCUUGAAUCGAGUUCUUUCAAAAAUCCAUCUUUUCAGAAGUUAAUCAAAAGAUGUUUUCAAAUAGUCCAGAUAACCGCAAGUUAGCGGAUAUUUUAGGUGCCUAACACCUUCCUAAAACGUUAAUAGGAACCACUUAUCUAGAAUCUUUAACUUAAAAUGAUUUUUCUAUUUUGAAUCGUUUGAAAUAACUCUCUAAAGGUUUCUUAAUUCUUUUCAAAGUUAAGUGGCGACUCUCAAUAAGUCAAAAUUUUUCUGCAAAACAGGCAUCUUCGUGUGCUUGACCCUCGAAUAGACCUUUUAUUUGUAACAUGUGGAGCAUGACACUCGUGACAUGGAACAACCCAUUUCCCUCAGUCGGUGGAGUAUGGAUUACACUCGCACGCCCUGCACCAUGAAGAAGAUACUCAUUCUCGAUAUAUCUAUCAAAUGAUUCUUCAUUGCUCCUAUUACGGCUCAUGGUGUUGUGAUUACUAUGAAAUCACCUAAUAAAAUAAAAAAAACAAACAAUGUAAAUGAAGACACUAUGGGUAAACCCAAAGUUACUAACAACACCAAACAAGUGAAAACUAAGUUUUACUCCCCGAC